CCUACGGGAGGCAGCAGUGGGGAAUAUUGGACAAUGGGGGCAACCCUGAUCCAGCCAUGCCGCGUGUGUGAAGAAGGCCCUCGGGUUGUAAAGCACUUUCAGUGAGGAAGAACGCCUGGUGGUUAAUACCCAUCAGGAAAGACAUCACUCACAGAAGAAGCACCGGCUAACUCCGUGCCAGCAGCCGCGGUAUUACGGAGGGUGCGAGCGUUAAUCGGAAUUACUGGGCGUAAAGCGCGCGUAGGUGGCUUGAUAAGCCGGUUGUGAAAGCCCCGGGCUCAACCUGGGAACGGCAUCCGGAACUGUCAAGCUAGAGUGCAGGAGAGGAAGGUAGAAUUCCCGGUGUAGCGGUGAAAUGCGUAGAGAUCGGGAGGAAUACCAGUGGCGAAGGCGGCCUUCUGGACUGACACUGACACUGAGGUGCGAAAGCGUGGGUAGCAAACAGGAUUAGAUACCCUUGUAGUC
rnacentral:rRNA from 1 species